UAGUCAUAUGCUUGUCUCAAAGAUUAAGCCAUGCAUGUCUAAGUACAUACUGUUUAUAAAGUGAAACCGCGAAUGGCUCAUUAAAUUACCCUCUCGCGAUGGACCACCUCAUCGUGGUGGGAGGGUGCUAUGUCCCCACUAGGCUAUUGAUCAUUACUGGGUCUUUAGCUGGCGAAUACUAAGUGUCCCUCUGGUUGACCUGAGCCAUAAUAUAGGUAGCAGUCUCGUGCUGCGACCCUGACCAAUGGGUCUCUUAACAUCUUAGAGUUUAUUG
rnacentral:rRNA from 1 species